UGCCCAGCUAAUCUUAUCCGAACCUCCUCGUGGUACUGGCCGGUGUACGAGUAACCUUGGGGAACAUCGGGUUAUCAACCCCCGGAGGGAGCACUGGUCGUAUGCUGACAGGGAAG
rnacentral:ribozyme from 1 species